GACGUCGGGGACUUGACAUGGGCUUUGUUGUUGUUUUGUUUUCUUUGCAAAGGCGGAGGAACGAUCCCCGUCCGCGGGAGGAAGAGGAGGGGCGGGCUCCUGCCCGUCCCGCCUGCUGCAACUCUGCCAAGAUACUAUGGAGAGAGGUGCUUUAAGAAAUACACAAUUGGUUAAUACAGAUAAGCUUCCGAGCAGAGGGACUAACAGACAAAGAAAGGAUUGUUGGAUAAAUAGCCUGGCUCAGGGUCUUCUUCCUCAUCCAAAAAAUGAACAGGACCUUUGAUCCAUGGAGAGCCCCAAUCCGUAGGGUAGGCUUGGAAGGACUGAACCGACUGAGUACUUGUUCUCAGCUGAAGCUGUGAUGAACUUGUGACCACAAAGAAAAUUCCUUGGGUGCAGUGUUGAAGGAUUACUCCUGCUAGAACCCCUAUUAGAGCUGGGAUGACAUCUGGUGAGCUUAUUAGCAAGUGUGUAGGGUUUUUAAUUGUAUUUAAUAUGUUUUCUCUGUAGUGCUUUUACCCUAAUAAUAAAAUUAGUCUUGCAUAAAAA